rnacentral:rRNA from 1 species
CAGUCGCCGCGGGAAUACAGAGGGUGCAAGCGUUAAUCGGAGUUACUGGGCGUAAAGGGCGCGUAGGCGGUUAUAUAAGUGAGAUGUGAAAUCCCUGGGCUUAACCUAGGAACUGCAUCUUAUACUGUAUGGCUAGAGUAUUGUAGAGGGUAGUGGAAUUUCCGGUGUAGCGGUGAAAUGCGUUGAGAUCGGAAAGAACACCAGCGGCGAAAGCACUCUGCUGGGCCGACACUGACACUGAGAGACGAAAGCUAGGGGAGCAAAUGGGAUUAGAUACCCCUGUAGUCCCUGUCUCUUAUAC